UACGAAGGGGGCUAGCGUUGCUCGGAAUUACUGGGCGUAAAGGGAGCGUAGGCGGAUCGUUAAGUUGGGGGUGAAAGCCCGGGGCUCAACCUCGGAAUUGCCUUCAAUACUGGCGAUCUUGAGUAUGGGAGAGGUGUGUGGAACUCCGAGUGUAGAGGUGAAAUUCGUAGAUAUUAGGAAGAACACCAGUGGCGAAGGCGGCUCACUGGCCCGGUACUGACGCUGAGGUACGAAAGCGUGGGGAGCAAACAGG
rnacentral:rRNA from 1 species